CGGGGUGAGUAUCGCGUAGGGAUUUAUCGUUGGGUGGGGGAUAACCGCGGGAAACUGCGGCUAAUACCGCAUGACGCCUGUGGGCCAAAGCCGGGUGACCGGUGCCUGAUGAGGAGCCUGCGUCCGAUUAGCUAGUAGGUUGGGUAAUGGCUGACCUAGGCUAUGAUCGGUAGCUGGUCUGAGAGGAUGAUCAGCCACACUGGGACUGAGACACGGCCCAG
rnacentral:rRNA from 1 species